rnacentral:tRNA from 1 species
CAGGGAAUAGUUUAUUUAAAAUGGUAAUUUUGGAGAUUAUUGAUAGGGAUUUUUCUUUUUCCUUGA